AAAAAGUAUUACCUGCCCAAUGAUUAAUUUAAUGGCUGCAGUAUAUUGACUGUACAAAGGUAGCAUAAUCAUUUGCUUUAUAAAUUAAAGCUUGUAUGAAUGGUAUAAUGAAAAUAUAACUGUCUUUUAUUUAUAAAUAAAAUUUGCUUUUUCAGUGAAGAAGCUGAAAAUUUUUAGAAAGACGAUAAGACCCUAAUGAGUUUUAUAUAUAUAAUUUUAUAUAAUAAUUAUAUAUAUUUUAUUGGGGUAAUAAAAGAAAAAAUCUUCUUUUAUAUUAAAAAAAUAAUAUUUAUUGAACCACUAAUAGUGGUUUAAAGUUUAAAUUACCAUAGGGAUAACAGCAUAAUUCUUUUUAAGAGUACAUAUCGACAAAAGAGAUUGUGACCUCGAUGUUGAAUUAAGAAUAUUAUAUAAUGUAGAAAUUAUAUUAAUAAGUC
rnacentral:rRNA from 1 species